rnacentral:tRNA from 2 species
CGACGUAGCUCAGGGGUAGAGCGUUUCCUUGGUAAGGAAGAGGUCGUGGGUUCAAUUCCCAUCGUUG